rnacentral:lncRNA from 1 species
AGAGUUUUAUUAUUAAGAUUCAUUUUAGCAUAGCCACUUUAUUUAUUUAUUAAACACACUAAGCAAAAGAUAUAUAUAUAUAUAUGCAUAAAAUCUUUAUUUGGUUUCCCAUAGUUAUGUAUUUUAAUAUAGUAUAAGUAUAAAGAUAGAUAUAAAUACUUAGCGAGAUAAAUGGGGGUGCUCUCUCCCAAGCUGAAUUUUGACGUAAUUUCUGUUGAUGUAGCUAGCAGGUGGCAGAGGUGUAUUUGAAAGUCGGCAGUAUCCUGACAGCGAUUAAAAUGUCCUCCGUCUGCUAAUCUUCUUGAUUCUUAAAUUCUGUGGAGCUGAAAUAGACAACAAAGCUUUGUGGAACUGAUUAAGUGUUAGCAUAAAUAUCUAGCCUUCAUCAUGUUGAGCCUCCUCAAUAAAUGUAACUCUCUAUUUUUAUAUUUUUCUUUUAUAGAGUAGAAAAAAUAUUUAUUUUAUUUUUAUGCCACCACAGUGAAUGUACUUAUGGGUUUUAUGCCACUCGUAUACUCACAUGGGGCUUACUGUUUUUUUUAACAUUUUUAUUUUCUUUUUAGGAUAGUAUGAACAUGAUUAACUAAGCAAACUAUUUAAAAUAAUUGAAAGGGAAAGGAUAACUGCCAAGUUUACCUCUUGGCAAGGCGUUCGGUGUUUUUAAGUCCUAAGAACAGGACUCUCCAUUCUAGUUGUCGUGGGAUUCGUUGGGUGGCGUAGUCGGUGCUUCUGGCAGCGCCUCCUCUUCAUGUAUAGUUAUCUUCUCUUUCCACACCUGACUCGGUGCUACGGUCUCCUCUGGAUAAUUCUGUUUAAACAGUAUGUCUUCUAACCUUACCACUUCUUCUUCAUAGUCUGCCCAUCCAUCCUUGAUGAUCUGCCUCCUCUGGUUGCGGUUGCGUCUUUUUCUAACCUGCUUAGAGUCUUCAACGAUAUAGUUAGGGUCAGUAAAAUAGCGGCGUACCUUCUCUGAGGGGAAGUGUAUAUGGACUUCUCCGGUUCCAAUGUAGAUGAUUGCUUUAACGGUGCUGAGGAACGGUGAAAGGUCCUUGUUUGGUUUUGGUAAUUGAGUGACAACUUAGGUGGACUAAUAGUAUUUAUGUGAGAUACACAGGAGAUUAGUCCACAGGUGAUUAUGUGAUGAUGGAGGAGCUCAUUGUAUAUGAGACAUGACAUGGAGUCAUGUGACCAAGGUGGAGAAGAUCAAGAUGAGGCUUGGCUCGAUGGACCGGUUGCAAGAGUGAAGGGCAAGUCGGAGGCGUUGAAGCGAGGGACCGCGUGUGACGGUGAAGCUUGAGCAAGACCUGGCGCCGUUGGACCGAGGCAAUGGUGAAGAGCAAGUGAGGUCAAGAUCGAUGAACCAAGACAGUCACGUGAUGAUAUGAAGUGGAUCAUAUCAUUUGGUGAUUGGUUGGUGCAUGUGUUGCAUCAACAUUGGAGGAGAUGGAAUGGAAAGCGCAAGGCAAAGGUAUAACCUAGGGCAUUUCCAUUUCACCGGUCAUAGGUGUGUAAAGAAGUUUAUGACCGGAUUUAGGAUAGAUGGCUGUACUAUCAAGAGGGGCAAACUUGUUUGCAUAUCGGUCAUCUAGUGCCACUUGAGCGAUCUAACUUUGCAUACGUGUUAGGAUCGAGUGGCGUGGCAAGUUGAGAGGCUAACUCCUUUGGGAAAAUAUUUG